rnacentral:rRNA from 1 species
AUUGAACGCUGGCGGCAGGCCUAACACAUGCAAGUCGAACGAGUGGCGGACGGGUGAGUAAUGUCUGGGAAACUGCCCGAUGGAGGGGGAUAACUACUGGAAACGGUAGCUAAUACCGCAUACCAUGGGAGUGGCCAGUAUGGGAUUAGCUAGUGGGUGGGGUAACGGCUCACCAAGGCGACGAUCCCUAGCUGGUUGGAGAGGAUGACCAGCCACACUGGAACUGAGACACGGUCCAGACUCCUACGGGAGGCAGCAGUGGGGAAUAUUGCACAAUGGGCGCAAGCCUGAUGCAGCCAUGCCGCGUGUAUGAAGAAGGCCUUCGGGUUGUAAAGUACUUUCAGCGAGGAGGCGUUACUCGCAGAAGAAGCAUCGGCUAACUCCGUGCCAGCAGCCGCGGUAAUAC